rnacentral:rRNA from 1 species
UACAGAGGGGGCAAGCGUUAUUCGGAAUUAUUGGGCGUAAAGGGCGCGUAGGCGGCGAUUCAAGUGACGGGUGAAAUCCCUCGGCUUAACCGAGGGACUGCCUGUCAGACUGGAUUGCUUGAGGCCGGGAGAGGCGAGUGGAAUUCCCAGUGUAGCGGUGAAAUGCGUAGAUAUUGGGAGGAACACCAGUGGCGAAGGCGGCUCGCUGGACCGGUUCUGACGCUGAGGCGCGAAAGCGUGGGGAGCAAACAGG